GUACUCAUGUCACUGCACCCUGUGGCUCGACGCCAUGACCGUACCCAGCAUGGGAUCGAGUGAAGAAUUUGGAUUGGGAUCAUGGAGUAAAUCAAACGAGGAUGCAACUCAUGUUCAUGUAGGGUAGAGCCAGCCAUGGUGUAGAGGCCAGAUAGUUUUAGUAUUCAGACUUUCAGUUGUUGCUAGCUCUACUCUGCUCUACCGGAAUAGAUGUGUUUUUUCCACACAAAAUUCUAACAUGAAUUUGCUAUUUAGCUGGCAAAUCCAAUAAUUUAUGUAUUGUAUUUGCAUUUUGCAAUUUAAUUUGGCUGCCAAAGUGCUACAUCGUA